UACAGAGGGUGCGAGCGUUAAUCGGAAUUACUGGGCGUAAAGCGCGUGUAGGCGGACGUGUAAGUCAGGUGUGAAAUCCCCGGGCUCAACCCGGGAACUGCACUUGAAACUGCGCGUCUUGAGUACUGGAGAGGGUAGUGGAAUUCCUGGUGUAGAGGUGAAAUUCGUAGAUAUCAGGAGGAACACCGGUGGCGAAGGCGGCUACCUGGACAGUCACUGACGCUGAGACGCGAAAGCGUGGGGAGCAAACAGG
rnacentral:rRNA from 1 species